GGUUCAGGACGAACGCUGGCGGCGUGCCUAAUACAUGCAAGUCGAACGGUCUUUCUAUGGAAGCUUGCUUCCACUGAGAAGAUAGUGGCGAACGGGUGAGUAACACGUGGGUAACCUGCCCAUAAGAGGGGGGAUAACAUCCGGAAACGGGUGCUAAUACCGCAUAGUUUUCUUGAUCGCAUGAUUGGGAAAGGAAAGACGGCCUUUGUGCUGUCGCUUAUGGAUGGACCCGCGGCGUAUUAGUUAGUUGGUGAGGUAACGGCUCACCAAGACGAUGAUACGUAGCCGACCUGAGAGGGUGAUCGGCCACAUUGGGACUGAGACACGGCCCAAACUCCUACGGGAGGCAGCAGUAGGGAAUCUUCCACAAUGGACGAAAGUCUGACGGAGCAACGCCGCGUGAGUGAAAGAAGGUUUUCGGAUCGUAAAACUCUGUUGUCAGAGAAGAACAAGUUGGAGAGUAACUGCUCCAGCCUUGACGGUAUCUGACCAGAAAGCCACGGCUAACUACGUGCCAGCCGCCGC
rnacentral:rRNA from 1 species